rnacentral:rRNA from 1 species
AGCGAACGCUGGCGGCAGGCCUAACACAUGCAAGUCGAACGAACCUUUCGGGGUUAGUGGCGGACGGGUGAGUAACACGUGGUAACGUGCCUUUAGGUUCGGAAUAACUCAGGGAAACUUGUGCUAAUACCGAAUGUGCCCUUCGGGGGAAAGAUUAAUCGCCUUUAGAGCGGCCCGUGUCUGAUUAGCUGGUUGGUUGAGGUAAUGGCUCACCAAGGCGACGAUCAGUAGCUGGUCUGAGAGGAUGAUUAGCCACAUUGGGACUGAGACACGGCCCAAAAUGCGACGGGAGGCAGCAGUGGGGAAUCUUGCGCAAUGGGCGAAAGCGUGACGCAGCCAUGCCGCGUGAAUGAUGAAGGUCUUAGGAUUGUAAAAUUCUUUCACCGGGGACGAUAAUGACGGUACCCGGAGAAGAAGCCCCGGCUAACUUCGUG